CUUCCCUGGCAAUGGGGAAAGAGACACCUAGUUGGUGGUGAUGUUCUUUUAUCAGUCAGGGGCAGUGUAGAUGGCAGUCAUUUCUUCAUUCUAGCUUGAUGUUUGGCAUGGUGGCUAAAACUGUAUUAUGCCUAGGACACAUAA